ACAGUUUCUAAAUCUAAAUUACAUCUGGAUAAAAAUGUUUUAUGAAAACUCUGAAAAGCCUAGCAUAAUUUCCCUCCCACUUUAUGGUUAUUUCCGUUUCUCGUUCACACAAAAUCCUAAAAAGUACACUGAAGUCUGCAGUUGCAAAGUGACGAACUGUGGGAAAGUUCAAGAGAUAACCAGUCUUCCUGGGUAUGGUGUAUAUGCCACGAGAACUUUAAAUGAGCAGGUAUACCGGAGAAGGAUCAUUAAGCAGUUUCUUUUAAAGCCACCUGUUCACCAGUGGGGGGGGAAGAAUCAAGCUGUUCAAACUGCCAACAUGACAAAGGGAAGGGUUAUCGAGAGCCGAUGUGAGUGCUACUACUUUGGUAGUCGGGUAUAAAGGCUCUGUGCUCGCUCAGUGAGCAGUCCUUCAAGUAAAACCUUUUCUUUAAAAGAAAGAUCAACAACAUAUGGAGAAGAAGAACCUCAAAGUCGCCAUAAGCAUCCAAUUUAAAUCAACUCUGCUUUUUACCUACAAAAACGUGUCCGUACAUUGAUUUCUCACAAAUGGCCCGGCUGCUUGUUUCAUCGCACGUUGCCUCCUCUUGUCCUCAGCAAAAGGGGACAAAAAAAGAAGAGGUUGACCUCUCCUUUUUUCAGCAGCGAACAGCAGAGAAAGAUGUGUUUUCUCUCCAGGGAGCUGUCUUUGACUGCGUCUCCUUCGGCUGGCAACAUCCAAGCUCUAUCUGGUGCGGAUGCCAUUAAAUGAACAGACCAUUAAAUGAACAGUUGCAUUGAGUGUACCGGCAUCUGCUCGCUGAGCCGUAUUAGACAGCAGCUCGACAGCCUUUGAGCAGCUGCCAAAUUCAAUUGUGCCGCGUGUAACCUGAAACCCCAAACGGAGGCAUUUCCUCGAUAAGGCAGGAUGUUUUGUGCCUUCCAUGAAUAUAUAGUUUACAUUUUAAGAAGCUCAAUAUGCACCUCAUUUUCUCUAAAUGUGUCCCUCCAGACUGUACGUAGGGAGUGCUAACCCUAAGCAGCCACAAACAGCUUAGAAUUGCUUCGACCGCGACACAAUUGACCCCCUCAAAAGCUUUUCUGGCAGCAGGGAAACAACCUGAAAAUGAAAAACCGCUUAUUUAGGACAGCGGAGGGAGGUGGGAGGAGACGGGGGGAAACAAACUGGAGACGAUGGGAGAAUGGAAGAGAGGAGACUUUGAAAGUUGUUAAAGUUUGGCUGGAGCCUGCAUUGUAAUCACAGCUCUCCUUUCUUACUGUGGUUGAGCAAAAUCAAUCCAGUGCGAUUUGUGUGCCCGACAGGCUUCUAACAGGAGCAGCCAGCUGGAAAAUAGGUCCGCCGUCACCGCGCAACACCUGGCCAGGCCUGACACUCCUCGGGUGCUUCCUUUUUGGAGAGCAACAUGUGUGCAGCCACCCACACGCACAGGAACACAGAAACACACACGCAGGUGCCGGCAGCGGCAACCUUUGGCUUUGUAAUCUAAGUGGUGAUGAUGUGGGUGGCCGACGGAUCCGCUGAUCGUUACACGCAGUGUACCCGGACCGCAGCGGGGUCCACGCCGACUGUGAUGUCUGUAGAAGCGGAGACGAUUUGGACACAAGCUGGACAAUCGUUGCCAACUGGCGACACGAUCGCAUCCUGUUAAGUUGUACGAAAAGGAAGGACAGAUGUAGGUCGCACGUGUCAGGGUUGAUGUCUGUGUUGCACGGCUUGAUCGAUUCCAGCUGGAAGAACGACGCAGAGAUCGUUUCAGAUUUAGAAAUAUUAUUGUUUUGUUCUCAACGCGCUGAGAAAUGGGCUGGUGACCAGCGCUGAAGAGGUUUCAGUUUAAACGAACCAUGACUGGUGACCAGUCAGUUGGAAACGCAUAAUCUAACCAAUAGCAACAGACGCAUGAUAUCAAUAGAUAUUAUGGUCUGGUAGAAUAAUUUCACUGAACUGUGAUCUAGAACAGCUCUGCAUUAUGGGGAAUGUAGGCAGAGGAAAGUCUUUAGCCGCUCAAUCUCACAGCCAGCUAAGCUAGUUUGGUGGCAUCAACGGACUCCCUCUCUCUUUGGUUACGUAGCAACCAUGUGCCGAGUAACUUGCUCAGCAACAGUGCAACCUCAACAUAUGAGUUUUGGUCCAUAUUUUUGUCUGGAUUUAUGAGCGAAAGUCUGAAUUACGAGUUGUGCUUUGGGACAUCAGUGCGAGUUGCCGUCUCGUUCAGCCACAUAAAGAAAAGGAUGAUGUUUAUCGAACUGAAACAGGAAUUCAGUUGGUGGCGGUCCAACCAACCAUCAAAAAACCCUAAAAGAAGAAGAAAAGGAAGAAGAACUGAAGCAGGAGGUGAUCAAAAAAGAUUAGCGGGAGUUAUUGAACUGGCAAGGCAGUGUGUGUUUCAAUGUGUGCAGGCCUUCCUCCCUCCCAUCUCUGGUCUGUUUCCAAGCACACGUCGUCAAGCCUCUCCUCAUCAAGGCCAACAACAUGUAAAAUGAGGAACGCUUGCCCAGAUUGGCCAUCAGCCUCUUAGAGGUGAACUGUGAUACAGAGGGAGGCCGGGUUGCCAGAUCUGAACGACAGUUUGCAGCCCAAAAAUAUACAAAAAACAACAUAAACCACACAACUUCAGCGUAAAUCUCGACCUCUAAUGAAACUCAUGUUCCUGAUGUAGUCUAAUGUAAAUACUAUUGAUUAGGAAGUUUAAUCAGAUUAAUCACACUCCAGGUCUGUGAUUAAUCACGAUUAAACAUUUUGCCGAACUUUCUAAAACUUGAAAUAUAAAUAUGCAAGCAGUUGCGUUUCUUGUAGGAAUUGUCCCCUCCUUACAGCCAACUUAAAAAUCCAAGCCAUUAUCUGAUUUUUGUUUUUCCUGGCUUUGCAGUAGAAAACAGAUAAUGUAGUCUCCCAGUACUCAGAAGCAACUAAGGGACGCCUCUCCACUAUACAAGCAAACAAGUAGAAGCAAACUCAUUCAGGGGACAA